rnacentral:rRNA from 1 species
CGGGGUGAGUAAUGUCUGGGAAACUGCCUGAUGGAGGGGGAUAACUACUGGAAACGGUAGCUAAUACCGCAUAACGUCUUCGGACCAAAGUGGGGGACCCUCGGGCCUCACGCCAUCGGAUGUGCCCAGAUGGGAUUAGCUAGUAGGUGGGGUAAUGGCUCACCUAGGCGACGAUCCCUAGCUGGUCUGAGAGGAUGACCAGCCACACUGGAACUGAGACACGGUCCAG